rnacentral:rRNA from 1 species
CCUACGGGAGGCUGCAGUGGGGAAUAUUGCACAAUGGGCGCAAGCCUGAUGCAGCCAUGCCGCGUGUGUGAAGAAGGCCUUCGGGUUGUAAAGCACUUUCAGCGGGGAGGAAGGCGGUGAGGUUAAUAACCUCAUCGAUUGACGUUACCCGCAGAAGAAGCACCGGCUAACUCCGUGCCAGCAGCCGCGGUAAUACGGAGGGUGCAAGCGUUAAUCGGAAUUACUGGGCGUAAAGCGCACGCAGGCGGUCUGUCAAGUCGGAUGUGAAAUCCCCGGGCCCAACCUGGGAACUGCAUUCGAAACUGGCAGGCUAGAGUCUUGUAGGGGGGGGUAGAAUUCCAGGUGUAGCGGUGAAAUGCGGAGAGAUCUGGAGGAAUACCGGUGGCGAAGGCGGCCCCCUGGACAAAGACUGACGCUCAGGUGCGAAAGCGUGGGGAGCAAACAGGAUUAGAUACCCUUGUAGUC